rnacentral:rRNA from 1 species
GUAGGUGGCAAGCGUUGUCCGGGAAUUAUUGGGGCGUAAAGCGCGCGCAGGCGGUUCUUUAAGUCUGAAUGUGAAAGCCCACGGGCUCAACCGUGGAGGGUCAUUGGAAACUGGAGAACUUGAGUACAGAAGAGGAAAGCGGAAUUCCACGUGUAGCGGUGAAAUGCGUAGAGAUGUGGAGGAACACCAGUGGCGAAGGCGGCUUUCUGGUCUGUAACUGACGCUGAGGCGCGAAAGCGUGGGGAGCAAACAGGAUUAGAUACCCUGGUAGUCCACGCCGUAAACGAUGAGUGCUAAGUGUUAGGGGUUUCCGCCCCUUAGUGCUGCAGCUAACGCAUUAAGCACUCCGCCUGGGGAGUACGGCCGCAAAGGCUG